rnacentral:rRNA from 1 species
CUCCUACGGGAGGCAGCAGUAAGGAAUAUUGGUCAAUGGACGCAAGUCUGAACCAGCCAUGCCGCGUGGAGGAUUAAGGCCCUCUGGGUUGUAAACUCCUUUUAUCUGGGAAGAAAUCCAUAUAUUCUUAUAUGGUUGACGGUACCAGAGGAAUAAGCACCGGCUAACUCCGUGCCAGCAGCCGCGGUAAUACGGAGGGUGCAAGCGUUAUCCGGAUUCACUGGGUUUAAAGGGUGCGUAGGCGGGUAAGUAAGUCCGUGGUGAAAUCUCUGAGCUUAACUUAAAAACUGCCGUGGAUACUAUUUGCCUUGAAUAUUGUGGAGGUGAGCGGAAUAUGUCAUGUAGCGGUGAAAUGCUUAGAUAUGACAUAGAACACCAAUUGCGAAGGCAGCUCACUACACAUCAUUGACGCUGAGGCACGAAAGAGUGGGGAUCAACAGGAUUAGAUACCUGGUAGUCACGCCCUUAAACGAUGAUUACUGA